rnacentral:rRNA from 1 species
CCUACGGGGCGCAGCAGUGGGGAAUAUUGCACAAUGGGCGCAAGCCCGAUGCAGCCAUGCCGUGUGUAUGAAGAAGGCCUUCGGGUUGUAAAGUACUUUCAGCGGGGAGGUAGGUGUUGUGGUUAAUAACCGCAGCAAUUGACGUUACCCGCAGAAGAAGCACGGGCUAACUCCGUGCCAGCAGCCGCGGUAAUACGGAGGGUGCAAGCGUUAAUCGGAAUUACUGGGCGUAAUGCGCACGCAGGCGGUCUGUCAAGUCGGAUGUGAAAUCCCCGGGCUCAACCUGGGAACUGCAUUCGAAACUGGCAGGCUAGAGUCUUGUAGAGGGGGGUAGAAUUCCAGGUGUAGCGGUGAAAUGCGUAGAGAUCUGGAGGAAUACCGGUGGCGAAGGCGGCCCCCUGGACUAAGACUGACGCUCAGGUGCGAAAGCGUGGGGAGCAAACAGGAUUAGAUACCCUAGUAGUC